AAUGAACGCUGGCGGCAGGCCUAACACAUGCAAGUCGAACGGAUCCUUCGGGAUUAGUGGCGGACGGGUGAGUAACGCGUGGGAACAUACCCAAAGGUACGGAAUAGCUUCGGGAAACUGGGAGUAAUACCGUAUGUGCUCGAAAGAGGAAAGAUUUAUCGCCUUUGGAUUGGCCCCCGUUGGAUUAGGUAGUUGGUGGGGUAAUAGCCUACCAAGCCGACGAUCCAUAGCUGGUUUGAGAGGAUGAUCAGCCACACGUGGACUGAGACACGGCCCAGACUCCUACGGGAGGCAGCAGUGGGGAAUCAUAGACAAUGGGGGAAACCCUGAUCUAGCCAUGCCGCGUGAUCGAUGAAGGCCUUAGGGUUGUAAAGAUCUUUCAGGUGGGAAGAUAAUGACUGUACCACCAGAAGAAGCCCCGGCUAACUCCGUGCCAGCAGCCGCGGUAA
rnacentral:rRNA from 1 species